rnacentral:lncRNA from 1 species
AUGGUCCAGAUGGGUAUCAUUAGGCUGCUGAUGCCCUUUUGCGCCGCUCUGUAGUUCUUAUCCUACACUACCUAAAAACAGGAACUAUUUCACAGCCCACCAAGAGAAAAACUCUAAGGCUUGGUCCUAUGAAUGAAUAAUGAGGGCCAUCUAGUGUCAAAAAAGGUAAUUACAGGCUUUUUGUUUUUGAGAUAGGGUAUCACGUCUAUAGUCCAGGCUGGAAUGCAGUGGCAUUCAGGACUCACUGCACCUUCCACCUCCUGGGCUCAAGCGAUCCUCCUGCCUCGCCCCCACCACCCCCAAAGGUGGCUGAGGCAAGAGAAUGGUGUGAACCCGGGAGGCGGAGCUUGCAGUGAGCGGAGAUCACGCCACUGCACUCCAGCCUGGGUGACAGAGCUAGACUCUGUCUCAAAAAAAAAAAAAAAAAAAAAAGGUAUAAACCAUAUACUUCCCAAAAUGGCAAUUUAAGGAUUUAAAGAAAGUCAGAGGAUGAGAUCAUCAUUUUAUGUCACUCUUCAAACUGUUGUGCUAUUAUAAGUUGGAACUCUC